rnacentral:rRNA from 1 species
UACGUAGGGUGCGAGCGUUAAUCGGAAUUACUGGGCGUAAAGCGUGCGCAGGCGGUUUUUUAAGACAGGCGUGAAAUCCCCCGGGCUUAACCUGGGAACUGCGCUUGUGACUGGAAGGCUAGAGUACGGCAGAGGGGGGGUGGAAUUCCACGUGUAGCAGUGAAAUGCGUAGAGAUGUGGAGGAACACCGAUGGCGAAGGCAGCCCCCCUGGGCCGAUACUGACGCUCAUGCACGAAAGCGUGGGGAGCAAACAGG